rnacentral:lncRNA from 1 species
UUCCAGCUCCGGCUCCAGCGCCAGCUGCUUUCGUUCAUGCUCGCGGCCACCACCCUGGUGAUCGAGCUCCAGCGCCUGCUCUCCAUGAUCAUGCUCGCCACCACGAUCCAGCUCCAGCCGGUGAUGGAGCUCCUCUGGUUGUUCACCACCAUCACCAUGGUCACCAUCAUGAAGGCCGCCACCACCACCACCACCACCACCACCACCACCAUCACCAUCGUCGCGACGGUCACAACGCAGCGAUGGCCACACCGACACCCGCGGUAGUGGUUACAGUGGCUCGGAGGACGCCCUGGUCGCUGCUCCAGCUUUUUCUCUGGGUUUUGGUUGCGAUCUUGGUGCUGCUUGCGUGCUUUUUGCUCUUGCGAUGGAUGUUAUCUCGAAGAAAACAGCGCAGGAAUGCGAUCUUUCAGGACCCUCAGUGGCGGAUCGAAGUGACGAAUCCUCUGGCAGUUGUGGUGGACGAUUCUCUGACUGAGAAGAAAGAGCUCGAGUGGAGGAUUAAAGUGCUAAACGCACAGGAGGAAGACGAUUCUCUGACUCUGAGCUUGUGAAAGUACGGUGCUACCAGCAUAGCGGUUUAAGCGGCGGGAUUAGUGUGGUCUAGAAUGCACUCUGGCUUCGCUUUAAACGGCACCAACUGACGAUGCCUUGCUCUCAUGAAGUACCGAGGCUGUGAUCUGGACGCUCAAACGGUUGAUACUGCAUUGGAGGGCCUGUUCACAGAGAGCGAUCUGCAAAGGUUAUAUUAGUCGCGAAAAUCUCUAUGCAAGGUGUUGAAGCCUCGUCAAGUUUUUAAACGAAUACCCCGGAAGCAACAUCGUGGACUAUCUUGAUUGCCGGCUAUGCUCAGCACAACGAACCGGACGAGCUGUUUCAACGGAUGGUCAUAAACUUUCGUGGCAGAACUGAAGGCUUGGGCAGCUCUGGCAAUUGGGAAGGAAAUUUACUUGACUAUCUCCAGAUAUAGAGACGAAGUCAUUGCGUCCAUGGGAGCAUCACUGGUGCUGAGCAUGUAGUACUGCGAAGGACUGCCGAGUUAUGGUCACUUGCGGCUUUGUUCUGGAAGUCUUAAAACCGGACGGGAUUGCUUUCACUUCAUCCUCACUUGAGUGUAGCGAUGCUGGCUUGGUCGACACAGCAACCCAGGUAAUGAGCUGAUCGUAGGUAACUCCAGAUCUGGAGCACUUUCACUGUAUGGUGGUGAGGCUGUCGAGAUGGCGAAAACGAUGCCUUUGUUGAUUAUAUUUUAUGCUUUAAGAUUUAUUUCGACUUUUAUUUAUUGAAAAAGGAGUUGAUUUCACCAUAUCUUUUAAUUUUUUUAGAGAGAGAGAAAAGAAAAAAUAAUGGAGAGGCUAUAACUUAAAUAGUAUGGAAAGGUAGUUUUAAAGAAUUAUAAUGUUUCUCUUUUCUGGCGACAUUUUUGGUUCUGAAACACAAAGUUGUUUGAGCGUGUGUCAAUGUUCUAAUGUGGGUAGCAAGCUCAACAACUUUACAAUAGACUAGAUAUGUCAAAGAGAGGGUUAGCAUUUGCUAGUUUUUAACCUUGACUUAGCUCUGGAGGAACAAUGAUCCUAAGAGAUGGGGAAAUCUUGUGUGAAGGGCGCAAUGCACGUUGCCCAUCGAAAGGGAAUUAGGUUAAUAUUCCCGAACUAGGACAAGGUGGUGGGUGGUAAUGCUGACGAAUCCAAAGACACUGGCAAGGGCCUCAAGAAGAGUUUUCUUUUCUUUUUAACGGCCUGCCAACCCUGAAAUCAGUUCAUAACAGCUUAAUUAAUAAAAGAUGACAAAAUCAACUAUAAAUCCACUUAAUCUCCUUCAAACAUUAUUCUUCCUUUUUAAUAAAUAAAAGUAGAAAUAAAAUUUAAUGCAUAAAAUAAUCAGCAUAACCCAAGCUUUUUGCAUCCUCUAGAAAGUUCAAAAUUUAUUUUUCUCUCAAUACUUUCUUGGCUCCCAAAACCAAUCCAUUAUUGAGUAAUGCCAAGAAAAAUCCUUACAACCAUUUCUAAGAGUAUACUCACAACAGCCCUUCAUUCCACCAGCUUUUGAGGACUUGCAGUGAUGAGGAUCAUACUUCUCCAAGAAUUGAACAUCAUCUCCCCCAAUAUUUUGCCCAAAAUUCAUAAUAAUUUUACUUUUUCUGACAAUACUUUAUAUGCUAGAAGUUUAAUUGGAGAAUGGAAAGGCUAUAAUUAAAAUAGUAUGUAGUGGAUACCAAAAUGGUUAUAAAAAUUAUAAGAAAUAAAGGAGUGUUGCUUUGGCAUUUCGCUCUGUUUCAAGCCGACCAUGAUCACUUGCAAAGUGGAAGAAUGUUAUAGCCAGACAAGAAGCAAGAUGCAGCCUACGUGCAUAUGGGACUGUAGGCAAAGUUCAGAAGAAGCUUGGACACUGACAAAUGUGGAAUCAUUCAUAAGUUUGUACCUAUGGGAUAAAACUCAUGCACAUAGGGACAAGAUGGCUUCUCAAGGCUGCUCUCAAGGAUCAGGGGUACAUUUCAGACGUAGGGGCCAUUGCAUGGAACAUUCCUGACAAAGAAAAAGAGGAGUCGUUGUGUGGGUAUAGCAAAAGGCUGGCUAUCAUCGUGAGUUCAGGAGCAACAAUUUGUCAUGUAGAUCUGCAAUGUUUCAUCUCCACUCAUAGCUGCAAAGGUAGCUUGGCACUUGAUCUCUUUUUCCAGCACAUAGUAGCAAGGCUAUCAACUUAAGAAGUGUGCCAGCUGAUUCCAGGAUGGAAACUGGAUUUUGAUGAGCAAAAGAGGUAAUCUUAGUUCUGGACUGCAACAGUGUAUUAACUUUAAAAAGUUUUAUACACAGGCAAUAGAUUCCACAUCCUAAAACAGCCUCUUGGACUCUACUCCCAAGUGUGGCAUGCUCAGCAAGUUUUCACAGUACUUGCGAGCAGCUGAUGGAAAUGACAAAGCCAAGAAAGGAAUGGCUCUUCAUUCGGCAGCUUGCAAGGCAGGCUAUGAUCUUGACAUGUUUGUGGCAAGGAAUCUGGUGGAUCUGUAUGCAAGGGGUGAGAGCAUGGAAGAUUUAUGCAGGAUGGGUGCAAAGUGUGGAUAUGAAGCCAAUGCAUUUGUCAUGAGCAACCUCAUGGACAUGUGGAAGCAUCAUAAGUAUUUGGGAGGAUGAAGAACCACAAUGUUGGUUGUAUGGAAUAUGAUCAUCAUGGGACAUGCACCUUGAGCUCUUCUAUCGGAUGUAAUGAGAUGCUGGAAUUGCAUGAAGUAUCAUGGGAUAUACUGAAAAUAUGCCUCAAAAUGUCCUUUGCUCAAGCAAGCUGACAGCCAAACACUCAGGCUUAGCAGCAAAGGUGGACAUUUUGAGGGAAUCUAAACAAGAAUCUGCCAUUGCUCAUCAAAUUAUAUGGGAAGUGUGGAGACAUGGCUAUUGAUUGAGAAGUUUAAGUGCAUCACUGUCAUAAUGACACACUUCUGCAUAAAAUUGAUCCUCAUCCAAAAGAAAUAAAUGAAAAGGGAUAUAAUAGUGAUAUCAUUGUUCCCACUAUCACCUCUCCUUAAGCCAUGAUGGCCUGGCUUUAAUCCAAUGGAGUGUGCUGCCAGUGCCUCAAGAUUACCUUGAAUUCAAUUCUGCCCACUUUGUUGAUACAAUUGGUAUUAGAAGUGUACAAGAAAGCCACUGGAAAGAGGUGGUGUUUGGCACUCAAGUUUUGCUUUGAGAGUUCUUUUGUCUUCUUCUCUUGGAGCAAUUGAUUCAUGCCCAUGGCAAAAGACUCUCCAGUAUUAGAUUCAAUUCCAAUUUCUUGGCACUUUUGCACAAAGAGGGUAAAGUCCACAAGCUCCACAUGAAGGAUUUUUGAGGCAGCCUAGACAUGAGAUGAUUGGUAGUUUCCUUUAGAUGGGGGACAAUGUCAUGUGAGGGGCACAACUAUAUUGAAGUACAAGGGAUUUAGUAUAGAUAAGGCAAACUGACUUCUUGCCCUAGCUCUAGUUUUGGAGUAUGGAUGAUUGUAGAUAGAUUAGUUUCUUUUGUUAUGUUUGUUUUUACAAGUUCUAAGUUAUACAUUGAGUUUAUUCACCUCCUUGAUGUCAUUUUGAACUUUUAAUUUGGCUUUUGUUUUAUAAUGACAUCAUCAACAGUCUCUUCAUCCUCAUUGUGACUAUCAUUACCAAAUUAGGAUUAGCAUCCCCUUGUCCCAAUUCCAAUGAAAUCAAUAAGCCCUAAAUCCCUAAACCAUGAAAUAUUUUUAGAAUAUUUUUAUGGUUUUUAUUUUAGAUUUGGUAAUUUCAUUAAGGAUUUCUAAGUGGUUUAACAAAGGUUCUUUAUGCUUCAUUUGUGAAGAAGUUUGAAAAAGUUGAUUUUGUGAACUAGUUAUUAAAAUUCAUGCAAAGGAUUUUCGUAAGUUUUGUGAUCAUUACUUUAAUUUUACAAAUGCUUGCUAAAGAUGCAAUGUUUUAUCAAUGGUUUGAGUUUGGUGGAUUUGUAGCAAAAAGUCAAAAAAGAUUUUAUAGCAAAAUUGAUUAAUGCCAUCACUAAACCAACUCAGUCAACUAUGGUCAAUAUAAUGGUUAAUGAGGUAAACAACAUGAUAACCAAUUACCUAAUGCUUUACAUUUAGGGAAGAAAUAAUAAUUAUUGUAUCAUAAGAUGACAAUAAAGUUAAAAACCUUUGUUUGGACCAAUAAAGUGGAGGGUUAAUGUUUUAAUUUUUACAAAGCUGAAUGUUGUAGAAAAAAUUGUUCUCUUGUGAAGGGUUGGGGGAUGUUAAGGUGAUUAUAGUGGAAUUCAUUAUAGAUACAUCUCAAGAGUAUUCUUUUUUAUAUUUUGUGAUAAAAGUUCAAGAACCUCAAGUUUUUAUAAAGUUUAAUGGUUUUAUGCACAAUAAACUUCUGAAAACCAAAGAGGAUAUUUAGACAAACCAAGUUUCUUCACCACCCUGAACUUUAAAAGAUUGUGUGGCAUCUAGAUCAAAACGUAAUUUAUGGAACGAUAAAACCACUUGGUUUCUCUAAAACCACAUCUUAUCUUUUAAAGAAUAGAAAAUGAUUAUUUCAUCCCUAAUAACUUUAUUUUUGGACUCAACUUGACUAAACAUUAAACUUGCUGUUUUUAAUCUAAUUUAAAAAAAGUUUUUGAAAGAAUACAAUAAUGAUCAUUUGAACCUCGAUCCACUUAUAAUCAUACAUAGUAAGGAUCCACUAGUGUUGUACUAAACAGUUAUAAACCAAUUUAUUUGUCACCCAUAGCAAGCUUAUAGGAAAUUUAUUUUUACUUAUGAUACUAUAGUAAUAACUCAUCCAAUAAGUUAACAUUAAUUUUGUCAACUUAUGAAAUUGCUAAUGUGUCUAGUACAUUUUAAUAAGUACAAGCAAAACUUUAUACAAUAUGGUAGAUUGACUUCCUGAGAAAUCCAAAUUAAAAGUUUACAUUUGGGGAUCAUAUGCUUAAAUUGAUAUUUGGCAUAUCAUGAGACUUAACCUAGAGAGGAUACCGAAUUUUAAACAAGUAAUAUUGAGUGAACUUUGAAGUAUUUAAACUCAAAAAUGCUUAGCCCUAAAUAUCCUAAUAUUCUAAAUCUCUUUAUAUUGAAACCUUAAAUUUCAGAAAUUAUUCUCUUUAAUUACUUACAACUAAAGUUUUUAUCAUUUAUAUAUAAAUAAACAAAUGAGAUAACAUUUCAAUAGACUUUAUCACUAGUUUGCACAAAAUAUUUUAAGGAAAUAAUGCUAUCUAGAUAUAUAUUUGCCAAGGUCUUUGUGAAAUAGGUUUACAGUGAUCCUAAUCAAAAGUUUAAAUUGUCAUCUUCAUUGAGAAGCUCUUCAUUAACUAAUCCAUAACAAACAUUAUAGGGCUCACAGCAAAUGUGUUACACAACAUGCUUGGCAGCAGUCGUGCCAUUCCCAUCACAAUCUCUUAGCAUGAAGGCUGAAUGCAUUCCGCCCUGAAAUUGAACGUUCCAUGCUUGAUCUGGGAUGUGAUAUUUUGGGAUGAAAUCAUUGCAAUGAUCUGAUAUUCUCUCACGCUCGAUAUGGAUAAUCAAACUGGCAACAUUUUCCAAAGAACAUGAGAUAAUCCUAAAGUUUCUUCAUAUAUAGCAUACCUUUCUCGAUGGAUCUUAGUUGUUCUUAUCCAUUGUUCAUGAAUAGUUCUAGUACCAAAAUCCAUGUGUUUCCACUGCCUUGCUUGAUGAUAACUCUUUGUAGCUUGCGAAUGGCGUGAACACAUGGGUAUUUAACCACAUAGGAAAUGGAUCUUCUAACCAUCUCAGGCUAAACGACGCUUGAGGGUUUUAGAGCACGAUAUGAAGAACAGCUCGGCCUGGAUCAUCAGAGCGCUACUGCUCGCCUCGCUUGCUAAUGACGCUUCAGGUCAGUUUGUUAGUGAGUUUAACUCUCUUACUAGUUCUGGGUUUACUGUGCUGUCGACAAGCACUCGGUAAAUGCCUUUGGCUUGUAUAUGGACCUGCGGAACAAGUUUGUGUUGGCGCUUGAUUCUAGUGGCAAUCGUAUAUGGAAGCUGAGACUGCCACUCUCGCACGCUACUGACGAUCCUCAUACCCUUGGGGAGCGUCUGCCACUCGCUGCACGGGGAAUUCUCGACUGGAGUAAGCACUAGAGGCUUUUCUUAUGCUUUGUUUUGUGGCGCCAAAGCUUAAGAAUUUUUUUUCCUCUAGAUAGCAGCUUGGAAGCUCUUGCCGGUUCACUCGUGGGGCAGUCCGGCUAUGUCGACGGCCCACUUUUUAAUCGCCCACAAAUUUGUGACAAUGGCGCGGUCUUUGUGGGGAACUUGGCUAUACGCAAAAUCAGCAAGGAUGGCGAAGGUAGUUUCGUUUUCUCUUUUAAAAAUCUCUAGAACAUUUUUUCUGUUUCCAACAGUGACCACCAUUGCCGGAGGUAGCUCUCGAAGGCCAGGCAUUGCCGACAGCCCGGAGACACAGCUCGUUUCUCAAGCGACUUUAGCUUGGCGUGUUCUUGUGGCUCCUUACUCAUAGCCGAUCGCGGAACCGGCUGAUACGCAAGAUACAAAUCGAUGAUCCAAAGUCGUGUGAUUCAAGCGAUUCAGCCGUUUCAGGUGACUUCUCAUCCUUUACCUGAAUUUUUUUUCUUUCGAUUGGAUUUAAAAACUCUUGCUUUUUGUUUAUUUCAUGAUCAGGAUCACAAAAAUGGGCUUUAAUUCCCGUAGUGCUGCUUGGCGUCUGUCUGGGGAUGCCUCUGGGAGCUUUUAUAAUUUGGAAGAUACUUGAUCAGCGACUCCGGCAAGUAAGUUUCACGAGCAAAGCUGGUGACUCUUAUGAAAAUAUUUCUAGGCAGGCGAUCAGCUGGGAAACACUGAAAGAUUGCUGGCGGACGUUCUGGAGGACGAUGAUCUGCAGGUUCGGCAGCAGAAGCGAACUUGCUAGCGCCGUCUUUAGUCUUUUCCUGCUUGUAUGUCAUCAGGCAAAGCUCCUCGCGUCUGUCUUCUUUGGUGUUGCACACGAAGUAAAAACGAAGCCAACUGCGCCUGUCAAACAAGAUCAAGACCUCCACUCUCUCCUUGGAAACACGAAAGAUGAGCCUCCAGACCUCAUUGAUUUAAUGGAACUCUCCGAACUUGGAAUCUUCUGUUGCUCCUUCUCUCUUCCUUUUCCGGAUUCGAGGAAUUUGACUAUGGAGCUCGAGUGUUUGGAGAAGUUCCAGCAGGAAUUCAGGGACAAGCUCAAGCACAGCUAAGAAUGUGCUCAAACAAGCUUUGUUUUUCCACUCUUCUUGAAUAGUCCAUUGUUUUACAAAUAAGUUGACGCUCAUGUUCCGGCGGGCCGAGGAGAUGGACGAGCUCGAGUUCUCUGAGGCGGAGAGCAAUCUCAACGAUCUGGUGACCAAGUACCAGCAGUACCAGGACGCUUCCAUGACGACGAUGACUUUGGGGAGGAUCCAACUCGCCGCGCAAUCCACAGCGUAAAAAACCAUUCUCUUUUUUCACAAAGGCAAAAGUAUUACUAUUUUUUUCAAAGUCAAGGGUUAGGUUAUAUUUUCUCGCUUGGAUUUUUCUAUUCGAGAUGUCGGAACGCGCGGUUUCGUCAGGUAUGGAUGCUUCUCUCCAUCAAGAAGCUAUGGUCUCUCGCGAUCAUGGGCCUCCAACGCUUGGCCGCCGAGCUCAAGCGCCCUGGCAUGGCGGCCAUCACCGAGCUUCACACCCUCCAGCUCCAACGCAUCGAGCAGCACAUGGACACCACCGUCCUCGAGCAUCUCAUGGAGGCCACGAGCCAGCGCCAGCUUUAGCUCCAGUUCUUCAAGGUGGCGCCCCAGUUCCAGCUCCAGCUCCAGCGCCAGCUGCUUUCGUUCAUGCUCGUGGCCACCACCCUGGUGAUCGAGCUCCAGCGCCUGCUCUCCUUGAUCAUGCUCGCCACCACGAUCCAGCUCCAGCAGCAGCGGUGUACCAUCAUCAUCACGGUGAUGGAGCUCCUCUGGUUGUUCACCACCAUCACCAUGGUCACCAUCACGGAGGCCACCACCAUCACCAUGGUCACCAUCAUGGAGGCCGCCACCACCACCACCACCACCACCGUCGCGACGGUCACAA